rnacentral:tRNA from 1 species
GGAUUGUGGCUCAGCGGUAGAGCGCCCGCCUCGCUCGUGCAAGACCCUGGGUUCGAUCCUCAGCACCA